rnacentral:rRNA from 1 species
UACGAAGGGUGCAAGCGUUACCCGGAAUUAUUGGGCGUAAAGGGUGCGUAGGUGGUUUGUUAAGUCUGCUGUGAAAUCCCCGGGCUCAACCUGGGAAUGGCAGUGGAUACUGGCAAGCUAGAGUGCGGUAGAGGGUAGUGGAAUUCCCGGUGUAGCAGUGAAAUGCUUAGAGAUCGGGAGGAACACCAGUGGCGAAGGCGGCUACCUGGACCAGCACUGACACUGAAGCACGAAAGCGUGGGGAGCAAACAGG